CAGCAGCCGCGGGAAUACGGAGGGUGCAAGCGUUAAUCGGAAUUACUGGGCGUAAAGCGCACGCAGGCGGUCUGACAAGUCAGAUGUGAAAUCCCCGGGCUUAACCUGGGAACUGCAUUUGAAACUGUCAGGCUGGAGUCUUGUAGAGGGGGGUAGAAUUCCAGGUGUAGCGGUGAAAUGCGUAGAGAUCUGGAGGAAUACCGGUGGCGAAGGCGGCCCCCUGGACAAAGACUGACGCUCAGGUGCGAAAGCGUGGGGAGCAAACAGGAUUAGAGACCCCGGUAGUCCCUGUCUCUUAUAC
rnacentral:rRNA from 1 species